GGUACGCACUACUGUCGGCCGGCUCGCGUGCCGGUUUUCCCGUCGUGGCCUUCGCCGGUCGCGGCGGGUGGCUGGCGAGUUUACUUUGAGAAAAUCAGAGUGCUCAACACAGGCGUCUAGCUUGAAUGAUUGUGCAUGGAAUAAUGGAAAAGGAUCACGGUCCUCUUUUAUUGGUUUUGUGGACUGAGAUAAUGGUUAACAGGGACAAACGGGGGCAUUCGUAUCGCUGCGUGAGAGGUGAAAUUCUUGGACCGUAGCGAGACGCCCGACUGCGAAAGCAUUUGCCAAGAAUGUCUUCAUUAAUCAAGAACGAAAGUCAGAGGUUCGAAGGCGAUCAGAUACCGCCCUAGUUCUGACCGUAAACGAUGCCAACUAGCGAUUCGCCGGUGGAUUUCACGCCCUGGUGAGUAGCUUCCCGGAAACGAAAGUCUUCCGGUUCCGGGGGGAAGUAUGGUUGCAAAGCUGAAACUUAAAGGAAUUGACGGAAGGGCACCACCAGGAGUGGAGCCUGCGGCUUAAUUUGACUCAACACGGGGAAACUCACCCGGCCCGGACACCGUGAGGAUUGACAGAUUGAGAGCUCUUUCAUGAUUCGGUGGUUGGUGGUGCAUGGCCGUUCUUAGUUCGUGGAUCGAUUUGUCUGGUUUAUUCCGAUAACGAGCGAGACUCUAGCCUACUAAAUAGCCGCGAUAUUACUUUAACUGUGUCGCGCGCUUCUUAGAGGGAUUCGCGG
rnacentral:rRNA from 1 species